GCACUCCAGUCUGGGCGACAGAGCACAACUCCAUCUCAAACAAACGAAGAAAGAAAGGUGGCUUAUUGCAGUUGUCCUGGUUUUGGCAUGGAGGCAACCUUACUCCUGGUGGUUGGCUUUUCCCAUACCAAAGGGGUGGCUAUCUCCUUUCUGGUGCUUGCUGUAGGAUUUAGUGGCUUUGCUAUUUCAGGUUUUAAUGUGAACCACCUGGACAUUGCCCCCCGCUAUGCCAGCAUUCUCAUGGGGAUCUCAAAUGGAGUGGGAACCCUCUCUGGAAUGGUCUGUCCCCUCAUUGUCGGUGCAAUGACCAGGCACAAGACCCGUGAAGAAUGGCAGAAUGUGUUCCUCAUAGCAGCCCUGGUGCAUUACAGUGGUGUGAUCUUCUAUGGGGUCUUUGCUUCUGGGGAGAAACAGGAGUGGGCUGACCCAGAGAAUCUCUCUGAGGAGAAAUGUGGAAUCAUUGACCAGGACGAAUUAGCUGAGGAGAUAGAACUCAACCAUGAGAGUUUUGCGAGUCCCAAAAAGAAGAUGUCUUAUGGAGCCACCUCCCAGAAUUGUGAAGUCCAGAAGAAGGAAUGGAAAGGACAGAGAGG
rnacentral:sRNA from 1 species